GACAAGAUGACUGAAAAAGUAAAGAUUUGUAAAAUCUCCCCAUGUAGGUUAAAUUCCUACUCUUCGUCA
rnacentral:tRNA from 1 species